GUAGGUGGCAAGCGUUGUCCGGAUUUAUUGGGUUUAAAGGGUGCGUAGGCGGCCCUGUAAGUCAGUGCUGAAAUAUCCCGGCUUAACCGGGAGGGUGGCAUUGAUACUGCGGGGCUAGAGUACAGAUGAGGUAGGCGGAAUUGACGGUGUAGCGGUGAAAUGCUUAGAUAUCGUCAAGAACACCUAUAGCGAAGGCAGCUUACUAGGCUGUAACUGACGCUGAGGCACGAAAGUGUGGGGAUCAAACAGGAUUAGAUACCCUGGUAGUCCACACUGUAAACGUUGAUUACUCGCUGUGUGCGAUAUACAGUACGCGGCCAAGCGAAAGCGCUAAGUAAUCCACCUGGGGAGUACGCCGGCAACGGUG
rnacentral:rRNA from 1 species